rnacentral:rRNA from 1 species
GAUCCUGGCUCAGAUUGAACGCUGGCGGCAGGCUUAACACAUGCAAGUCGAACGGUAACAUAAAGGAGCUUGCUUCUUUGAUGACGAGUGGCGGACGGGUGAGUAAUGCUUGGGAAUCUAGCUUAUGGAGGGGGAUAACUACGGGAAACUGUAGCUAAUACCGACGUAGAAUCGAGAGAUGAAAGUGUGGGACCUUCGGGCCACAUGCCAUAGGAUGAGCCCAAGUGGGAUUAGGUAGUUGGG